UGAUGGAGGCAUAGGUAAACCUGG
rnacentral:piRNA from 2 species